UAAUACGUAGGGUGCAAGCGUUGUCCGGAAUUAUUGGGCGUAAAGAGCUCGUAGGCGGUUUGUCGCGUCGAAUGUGAAAACCCGGGGCUCAACUCCGGGCCUGCAUUCGAUACGGGCAGACUAGAGUUCGGUAGGGGAGACUGGAAUUCCUGGUGUAGCGGUGAAAUGCGCAGAUAUCAGGAGGAACACCGGUGGCGAAGGCGGGUCUCUGGG
rnacentral:rRNA from 1 species